AUUGAACGCUGGCGGCAGGCCUAACACAUGCAAGUCGAACGAGUGGCGGACGGGUGAGUAAUGUCUGGGAAACUGCCCGAUGGAGGGGGAUAACUACUGGAAACGGUAGCUAAUACCGCAUACCAUCGGAUGUGCCCAGAUGGGAUUAGCUUGUAGGUGAGGUAACGCCUUACCUAGGCGACGAUCCGUAACUGGUCUGAGAGGAUGAUCAGUCACACUGGAACUGGGAAACGGUCCAGACUCCUACGGGAGGCAGCAGGGGGAAAUAUUGGACAAUGGGCGAAGGCGUGUUCCAGCCAGGCCGGGUGUGUGAAGAAGGUCUUCGGGUUGUAAGGCACUUUAAGUUGGGAGGCGUACCAACAGAAUAAGCACCGGCUAACUUCGUGCCAGCAGCCGCGGUAAUAC
rnacentral:rRNA from 1 species